UCCGUCCCGGCACCGGUUGCGCAGCCCCGUGAUGCCAGGGGUGCGAGGCAGCCCCAGCUCUCGGCAGCUCCAGCACUGCUUCACUGGCACCGUGCUCGGUCCUCGUCCCCAAAUCAACGUCGCCCCGGGAGGCAGGAACAUGGCAAACAGCUCCAGGUCACUGGGAUAAGUCCAAGACCUCAGGCAAGAGCUGGCUGGGGAUCGCUGGCAUUCGGCAGCUGCGGCGGGAGCGUCAGCCCAGCUCCUCCAGAGCGGAUGACCCCAUGGCCACAGGCAAUGCCGUGCAGCCAUCGCUCCUGAUACUAGCAGAAGAGCCCAGGCUGGAAACCGGUUUCAAACCUGCAGUAUGCUAAGGACUGCUUCCUGAAAUACCAUGUCCAGCGCAGCUGUCUCGCCUUCCUUCUCCCUCACUGCCCCCUCCUCUCCCUCCUUCGUGUCCCGAGAGGCUGAACCACGCUGCAGACACGCGCAGACUCCUCGCUACCUCCUCUGCCUUGUGCUGUGCUCUGCCACCCAAGCAGCUCUGCUCCGAUGCCCGGAGGCAGCGGCAGGCACCGCUGCCAUCUCAGUAACCACCAAGAGGAGACGGGAAGGUGAUGGGACACGAGAUGGGAGAGUGAUGGGACACGCUUAUGUCUUCCGACCCCUCGGGAUCUGCCCUGGGCGCUCACUAACAGCCUGCUGCCCGAUGUAAGCACCAGAGUCUUCCUUCAGCCCAAGUGCUAAAAGUCUGUGGCUUUGGGUGAAUAUACUGCCUUUGAUCCUUUCUCAAGGCUGCGGUUCCCUGUUUACACAGACAACCACAGCUCUUUGUAUCCGCGCUCAUUAACUCUUCUGAAGCAUUUUCUGAUCACCAAGAUAAGACUCCCAGUGCCUGAGCAGGGGCUGAGCCCACAUCUCCGUGUUUCCGAUCCUGCCCCGACAGAUCCCUCUGAGCAUCUCACCAGUGAUUUGGGUAUGUUGAUGGUGGCAGCAGUCCCAGACAAACCCACGGGGGGACGGAUCUCUCCUCCCUGGGCAAGCACGCCCUUUGUUCCCCAGAAGGCAAACGUAGGAGGAGACCCACCUCAUGCAGGCUGCGCAACGGUGAGCCACAGGCGAGAGCCCCAUGGGCAGCGCUCCAUGGAGGACAUGCCUCAGUUAUUCUGCUUCUCCUUCACGUGCAUUAGGGGGUUUGGGGCAUUUUGGUGUUGCUUUUUUUUUUUUUUUUUUUUUGCUAGCUUUUAUCCUCCUAGCCUUUCUGGCAGGCUUUUGAACAUACAUAAUGACUUGGAAGGUGCAGCAAAGGUUCUGGCAUCCAUAGAGUACGGCGGGAGCAGAGCCAAGACGCGGGGCCGCACAGUGGUUUCAUCCCAUUUGCAAACUAUAAGGCUGCCUUUGAGCAGAGGGGGGCAGUGCGAAAGAACAUGUGCUAAACAUCAUGUUGGGAAGCUUAGCGCAUUAAGGGGAACAGCGUGCUGGCUACGGACAAAUGGAAAUGGUUUGCGAUUUGUUAUAGGAAAAGGGGAGGCAAGGAGCAGUCUCUUUUGAUUUAGGGUUUAGUGAACAGCUCUGGCAGGGCAGGUAGGAUGGUCUUUUCUAGGUGCUUUAGCCAAGCAAGUGUCAGAAUGGCAUAAAUCAGUUUUACCCAUGUCUGUCAGCCCUUUGAGAGGAACUCCUUGGUAUCUGAGAGCUCAUGCACAAAGAGGAGUAUAGACACAAGGUAAGGAGAUGGAAAGAGAGUCCUCCAGAAAAUAAAAACCCAGACAGCAACCUGCAACAUGUGCUUCAAGCCUGGGCUCUAAAAAACUUCCCUCAGCCACCUGGGAUGGCACACAGAUGAGCUGCUCCUGCUCAGCACUGCUAUGUCCUUAAUGAUCUCACAUGCAAGUGGUAGGUGUCUCCAACAGCUCCAGAGUAAAUGAAAGACCAACUUGUUAGGCAUUAAUUUACCCAGAGUGUUUGCAUAGUUCCCUUCCUGCCACAACAGAGGCCAUGACAUUUGAUGUCCUGUGGUGGACCUUGGUUGACCAGGCUGCUCUCAAAACCAAAAUACCUGCAAGACUGAAAGACUUAAUCCAUCAUCGUGCUACUUGGGAUGGUGGUACGGAUGGAAGAGUGAACUUCAGAGCUGAAGUUUUGGGUGCUGACUGAUGGGAUCGGUUGGGUCAGGUUGCCUGGGAUUUGGGAGGAAGGUUCAAAGCUGCGGUUAAAAACUGAAAUCUCCCCUUCAAAGGAAUUCCUAUCUGUCCCUUACUUUCUCUACCCCAAGCCUGCAGGAGACCAUUCAGUCAAUGCUGGGAUGGUGGGCAAGAGUCUGAUGACAGCUGCAGCCAGACGAGAAGCCCCAAGGUCCUGCAGAAACAGAAGUGCUUUUCCAGACCUUUUUAAACCCUGAGCAUCCACAAAAAUGAAAUGCCCAGGUAUCGGUUUUGCGAAAGAAAAAGGAUCAAAGAAGCAGAAGGAAAGCUGAGAGUCUUUCAGCAAAUGGAGAAGGGAUGCUUGCACUACCAGGUGGAGGGCAAGCAUAAGCACAGAAAGCUGCCUCGCACAGCUCUCACUGCGAACCGCAGCUCCUGUGCAGUCUUGCCUCGGAACAUCUUCUGAGCUGGGCAGAAGGACCAGCGCUGGGACUCUGGGCUGUGGUGCGCUGGACAAACCCCCGCUAUUUCCCACCUGAGUGACAAAGAAGCUGGUAUGAAAGCACCAAGCAUGCAUGGGCUCAAAGCCCCCUCCCGCUGCCCCAGAGUCCAACCGCACAUUGGGGGAUCUAGAUCUAGGGCUGGACUUGGCUCCCCUUUUUCUGGCCCUGUAGAUCUCCCCAGUGGUGCUCCAUGUCACGGUGCACAGAGGAGGGGUCUUUGAUGGCAACUCAGUGGCUGAGAUGUUUCUCUGCUGCUGUCCCCUGCCACAUGCUGAAGCAGUAGCAGGUCCCUCACUGAUGCUGCAUCUCUGGGGGCUGGAGAGAUGCUCUUCCUGGUGCUCGUACUCCACCCCAGCACGUGAAGGAGGAGGGGUAACAACUACCUGUGAAACAAAGACUGUUGCUCCCACUAUUCUUGUGGUACCCAGCACAAUGGCUCGCCAACCUGCUUUGCAGUGCUACAGAUAUAAAUGUUUAAUAACCAAUAACACAACAGUGGCUGGGUGGUGACAUACAUCAAACCGCAAGGCAUGCACCAGACUGUUCCUGAGCAGGGAAAAGCUUCUUCCCUCUGCAUCACUUACAGCUUUAAUGGAUAUAGCAAAUAAGUCACACCUGACAAGUAUAAAAAUGGCAUUUUCCCUCUGUGAUCUCACUGGGAGGCCAGAGACAGCAGUUCUGACAUCACAGCUAAUGAAAUCAAUUUUGCUUUGCAAGGAGGACCUGGUGCUGCCCCACGUGCUGGGCUGUGUAAUGGGAGUCCCAGGCAAACACAGGCAGUGGGACAUGGCUGAAGGUGCAGGCCAGCCUUGCUUUACCUCCUUUCCACCAGCAGCUCAAAUGCUCUGCUCCACCACUCCCCCCCCUUCUUUUUUCCAUUUGUUUGUUCAUUCCUCCUUUAUUCUCUGCAAUUGUCCUUAAUGGAAACAGCAUCUCAGCAGAAGUCACCCUGCAGGAAAGCUAUAGCACAGAGGGAUUUUUGUAGAUGGCUUUAAUAAAAACAUUGAAGGUC